GACAUUUACACACUAAUUAGCAUUAAUUUCUUUACUGAAUUAUUAGUUGAAGAAAAUGUUGUGAGAACCUGUGAUUUAAAUAAUUUUCCCUUGAAAAGUACUUUUCAUUGCCAAAAUGGGUUCUUAGAUUCAUAUGUAUGGAUUGUACAUAUUGAAAUUGAUUUUUACAGAUUGGCUUAUGUUUCCACAUUUAUAACCAAAGGCUGUAAGUACUGUAUAAAUCACAGUUUUCAUAUUCAGGAUCAAAAUGGUUAUACGUGAUAAACAAGACUAAAUCACAUUUCUAGGUGACUAACAACAAAAUUCUUCACAAACACUAAGCAGGCAAUAAAGUUGUAACCCUUGUUUUCUUUUAAAUGGAAUUACCACCUAACUAGCAGACAAAUACAGUCUGGAUUCCAAACUUCCCCAAGAAGGCUCCAUGACAAUGGCAGAACUACACAAAUUCUUUAUCUAUUACCUAUUCUUUCCUGAAACACGUCACAAACACUCAAAUACCUCAUUGGUCACAUUGAUGCAGAGGUUCACAAAAGCAUUACAGGUUAAUGCACAGCUACCUCAUGUGAAUUCUUUUCUUUAAUAUUCAUGUAUGGAGAACAGAUUUCAUGGAUGAAUGAAUUUAUGGAGAAUUAGAAGCGAUUAAUCUCUUUUUUUUUUCCCUCUACAGGUUUCCUCACAUGUAAGGAGAAAGGACAUUCACACAGGAUUUUCACUGUUAGAGUGCUUAAGAAACAUCAACAAGAAAGUAACUACUGCAUUAUGGCCCAGGCUACAGUAGAAAAAACUACUAUCGAUGCAACUACCAUGUUUGCCAUUGUAACAGAAAUGACAGCAUCAGUGAAUUCUGCAUCUGGCUCAACUCACAAAAUAUAUUCCCUAAGAUCCUUUGGAUCACUAAAGUUAAGAAAAAAUUAUGUCUCAGCAACACAGAUUUAAAACCUCAUAAUGCACAAUCUCUUUCCCUGAUACCUUUCAGCAUAAAUAUUUUAUCAAUGCCUAUGUCUUUGGAACAAGUGGUGCCUGGAGGUGACAGGACAAUUUAUAACCAGAUGGCUGAAUGCCUUUUGAUUUCUCAGUGACAAUAAUUUCCCUUUCAUCGAAGAGAUGCUGCCUUUGGAGGCAAGCAAAGGGCUCCAGGAGAAGCCCGACCUUGCCAUGCUGUUCACCAGGUGGUGCUGAAUCGGGGAACUGGCUGUUGGUACAAGGAGCAAUGCAAGGCUGCCAGUUCUGAAGUGGUUGAAAAAGAACUGAGAAUCCACUAAAUUGCAAGCACACUUACUUUGAGGGAAUGGAAAGUGCAGUAUCCAGGUAUGGAAAAAAAGCAAGAGAAAACAUUUCUAGAUUACAUUAAUAAAUCACAAGAACAGUAAAAGAACAGAUCUGAAGCCAUCUACACAUACGGCUUAAUUUUUUUUUUUUGAUAAACACAACUUCUCAGGAGCAAAUUGGGUAUGCUGCCACAUUACAAGGUUGUCUAGUCUAUCACCACCUAAUUAAGAGCUUAACACAUCAAUACAGAAGCAUGUCAUGUUAGAAGCCUGUUCAAAGCGGCAUUUGUCUCAAAUUGUUGCAAAUCUGUGCCAGCACCACUAAACUCAGAGUGGUGAAUUUUGCACUCUAGAAAUUAAAUAAGGAGAUGGUGUUAGUGAAAGCUAAAGAAUAAGGUUUACAAGCACCUACAGAAAUAAAAGUUGUAACUAAUCUCCAGAAUCAUGGACUGCAAAAAUAUUCAUCUUCAUUGUUCUGCACCAUGAAACACAGGGAUGCUUAUCCUCAUUAACUUUCUUUUCCUUGGCAUCUUUGAUAGGAAUUACUUUUCUCCUACAUGGGAAACACUUUUUCCCAUGUUAGCUCUUCCAAGUAAAACCUAAACCCAACAAGCCCAUCACUCCCCAGUACUUCACAUUCUAUACUUAUGCCCAAAGUCUGUAAAACCAUUCAGACACCCCGGCCUUAUGUACCACGUGUUCUUACCAAUUGAUUUGAACAAAGCUUUUUUUGGACAGUGACUAAGAAACCAAGGGGAAUCCAGGAGUAAAUUUUAUUUAACUUCAUAGUUCCAAUUCAGCUUUCCUCCCUGAAGGUGAAGGCCCUUUUCCUCUUAUUCUCCUAGUCAGUCUUUCCUUUCACCUUUCCAGAACACUUUGGAAAUCACUUGCCAGAAUAAGACAUCUCAGACAGGAUAUCUAUGGAAAUGCCUAAACAUGAUUUUUUUUUAAAUACAUUUUUUUAAUGUAGUAAUAUUAGGAUUAAAAUAAUAAUGGAAAAGACUAUAUACAGGUCCCCUAGUCUGAGGUUCACAGGUUUUUUUCCAUUAAAAUUUUAACCACAGUUUGAAGCGACACCCAGGAAGAAACAAAUUGCACUUGCAUUCCCUGAACAGCAUUACCACUCAUAACAGCAUUUUAUUAUGCUUUUAAAGAAUUAUCCAACCUUUCUAUUUUAUUUCUGUUGAAAAAAAGCGGAAUAAAAAUUAGAAAAUCCAAGUCCUCCUGACUCCAUUUUAAUUCGAAGGAAAACAAUCCCUUCAAUUUUAAAAUCUUGAGCAGAAUUGUACUGCUUCAGAGUAAGGAAACCAUCAGGAAGAGAAUAUGCUGCCCCAUCCUGUUCAGAUGCGACUGCAAUUUAGGUUUUGACAUAGCUGUCUCUAUUUCUCUAGGUACACUGCUUAUGUAUGGCAAUAUUUGUUACAGGUGAAGGCUACAGUAAAGUGAAAAUGUAAUUUAGGCUCCUAUCAUGUCAGGUUUGCAUAACGUAUAGUUGUCUCCACAUUACCAUCUUAGCACCAUUAGUUUUAUGUGUUAAGCUCUAAGCACAGGCUUUAAAAUCAGUUUCUACUUCCAUAUUCCCUCUACUUAGCUGUUGCUCUGAAUGUUGCUUGCUAAAUCAUCUGGAGCAAUUUUGAUUACAAAUGAUUACACAAUGUAACACCAGUCUAGAGCAUAAUGUCUGUAAAGUGUAGGUGCAGAACUUGUGAACAACGGGGCAGGAGGAAAACCACAAAACAAAGAAAAACCUAAGCAUUGAAACUGU